rnacentral:rRNA from 1 species
GGAAUUUUGCGCAAUGGGCGCAAGCCUGACGCAGCGACGCCGCGUGGGCGAUGAAGGCCUUCGGGUUGUAAAGCCCUUUUCUGGGGGAAGAGAGAGGACGGUACCUCAGGAAUAAGCGUCGGCUAACUACGUGCCAGCAGCCGCGGUAAUACGUAGGACGCGAGCGUUAUCCGGAUUCACUGGGCGUAAAGCGCCUGCAGGCGGUUUCGUAAGUUGGGUGUGAAAGCCCCAGGCUUAACCUGGGGAGGCCAUUCAAUACUGCGG